AUGGGAGAAGCGGUGGCGGCGGCGGAGGACACCCUGAAGAGGGGGGCGGUGGUGGUGCCGGCGCCGCAGCCGAGCAAGGGGGUGGCGUCCUGGGCGGUGGACCUGCUGGAGCGCCUCGCCGUCCGCCUCGGCCACGACAAGGCCAAGCCGCUCCACUGGCUCUCCGGCAACUUCGCCCCCGUCCGCGACGAGACCCCGCCCGCCGCCGGCCUCCCCGUCCGCGGCCACCUCCCGGAGUGCUUGAAUGGUGAAUUUGUCAGGGUGGGGCCUAAUCCGAAGUUCGUCCCUGUUGCAGGAUAUCAUUGGUUUGAUGGAGAUGGAAUGAUCCAUGCAAUGCGUAUUAAAGAUGGCAGAGCUACGUACGUAUCAAGAUACGUGAAGACUUCUCGCCUCAAGCAAGAAGAGUAUUUUGGUGGAGCAAAGUUUAUGAAGAUUGGAGACCUAAAGGGCUUUUUUGGAUUGUUUAUGGUUCAAAUGCAAGCACUUAGGAAAAAACUGAAAAUCCUGGAUGUUACUUAUGGAUUUGGGACAGCUAAUACUGCACUUAUAUAUCAUCAUGGCAAACUCAUGGCCCUGUCGGAAGCAGAUAAACCCUACGUUGUUAAGGUCCUUGAAGAUGGAGACUUGCAAACUCUUGGGUUGUUGGAUUAUGACAAGAGGUUGAAACAUUCUUUCACUGCUCAUCCCAAGGUUGAUCCAUUUACAGAUGAAAUGUUCACGUUUGGGUACUCGCAUGAACCUCCUUAUUGCACAUACCGGGUCAUCACCAAGGACGGAGUUAUGCUUGAUCCUGUGCCAAUAACAAUACCAGAGUCUGUAAUGAUGCACGACUUUGCAAUCACAGAGAACUAUUCCAUAUUUAUGGACCUGCCUUUGUUGUUUCGACCAAAGGAAAUGGUUAAGAAUGGUGAAUUCAUCUACAAGUUUGACCCUACCAAGAAAGCUCGUUUCGGCAUACUCCAGCGUUAUGAAAAGGAUGAAAAAACCAUCAGAUGGUUUGAACUCCCCAAUUGCUUCAUAUUCCACAACGCUAAUGCCUGGGAAGAGGGCGACGAAGUUGUUCUGAUUACCUGCCGCCUUGAGAACCCAGAUCUGGACAAGGUGAACGGCACCCAAAACGACAAGCUCGAGAACUUCGGGAAUGAGCUGUAUGAGAUGAGAUUCAACAUGAAAACAGGUGCUGCUUCGCAGAAGCAACUGUCCGUCUCUGCUGUAGACUUUCCUCGAAUCAACGAGAGCUAUACUGGCAGAAAGCAGCAGUAUGUGUACUGCACGAUACUCGACAGCAUAGCGAAGGUGACCGGCAUCAUCAAAUUUGACCUGCACGCCGAGCCAGAGAGCGGCAAGAAGCAGCUUGAAGUCGGUGGGAAUGUGAUGGGCAUAUACGACCUGGGACCUGGUAGGUUCGGCUCGGAGGCGGUCUUCGUGCCCAAGGAGCCCGGUGUUUCUGGUCAAGAAGAUGACGGCUAUCUGAUACUCUUUGUGCAUGAUGAGAACACAGGGAAAUCUGAGGUGAAUGUGAUUGAUGCCAAGACCAUGUCGCCUGAUCCGGUGGCGGUCGUCGAGCUGCCGAACCGGGUUCCCUACGGGUUCCACGCCUUCUUUGUCAACGAGGAACAACUGGUACAUCAGCAAGCAGAGGUGUGA
rnacentral:rRNA from 1 species